CGAAAUAAACCUAUACAACCCUCGGAAUAAUCUAUUAAAAUUAGGCGGGCUAGUUUUUACACUCCAGCGCCAAUUUUACCUCCAAAUUUAAACAUUUGUCAAUGCAUCCUAUCACAACCUUUGAUAGAAGAUAACUCAAAAUUUCCAACCCUUGAAAUAAAGUCCAAAAUUAAAAUACAAAAGGUAAAACUCAUUUUUGUUCACGCUCCACACUCAGAAACCGCUCACACGAUCAGAAAAUUCUCUCAAAAUCGAUCUGAGCUCAUCUCAGAAAACUCAAAGAUCGGAGCUCAUCUCAUCUCCGACGGGCUGAUUUGCGGUGGUCAGCUGUCUCAUCUCCGACGACAAGCGAGCCGUUGAUAGACUUAGCACUCUUUGCCACCCCAUUUCCGAUUACAGAUUAUUUAUGACAGAUAAUGAAGAUCAAUCUCAAAUAGAAAAUCCCAUCAGGAAGGUCAAGGAUUUAGCUGAGGAACAAAAUGAGCAUAAUCUCUACGCAUUCACUCCCAAAGGAAAGUGAGGAAGAUAAUGCCUCUCAAAAUAUCAUAUAUGGUGCAUAUGAUGAUGCAAUUACUGAUAAGAUCAGAAAAUGAUGGAUUCUUUGUCCCAUUCCUCAGUACCCUUUAUACCCUGCUUCAAUUGAUCUCCAUGGUGGUACACUGGUUCCUUACUAUCUCAAUGAAGCAAUAGGAUGAGGAUUGGAAGUCUCUUCCCUUAAGAAGCAAUUGGAGGCUGCCAAGUCCAAGGCAUCAUAGUUAGGGCUUUGGUUGUUAUAAAUCCCAGAAACCCAACAGGCCAGGUUUGCUAUUAGUAGGUUUGAAAAGAAAAAAGAUAACAAAUCAAAAGACAACCAAAUCACAUCUAUCCAAAGUAGAGUUUAAUACAAAAAUUUAUCAACUUAGAGUAGG